rnacentral:rRNA from 1 species
AGUGAACGCUGGCGGUAGGCCUAACACAUGCAAGUCGAACGGCAGCACAGUAAGAGCUUGCUCUUACGGGUGGCGAGUGGCGGACGGGUGAGGAAUACAUCGGAAUCUACUUUUUCGUGGGGGAUAACGUAGGGAAACUUACGCUAAUACCGCAUACGACCUCCGGGUGAAAGCAGGGGAUCUUCGGACCUUGCGCGAUUGAAUGGGCCGAUGUCGGAUUAGCUAGUUGGCGGGGUAAAGGCCCACCAAGGCGACGAUCCGUAGCUGGUCUGAGAGGAUGAUCAGCCACACUGGAACUGAGACACGGUCCAGACUCCUACGGGAGGCAGCAGUGGGGAAUAUUGGACAAUGGGCGCAAGCCUGAUCCAGCCAUACCGCGUGGGUGAAGAAGGCCUUCGGGUUGUAAAGCCCUUUUGUUGGGAAAGAAAAGCAGCAGGUUAAUACCCCGCUGUUCUGACGGUACCCAAAGAAUAAGCACCGGCUAACUUCGUG